rnacentral:rRNA from 1 species
GAGGAAUGUAUAGCAAUAGCUACUUGCACCAUUGUCAUAAUGAUGCAAGAUCGACUAUGUCGAAUAAAAUUCUAGGUAGAAUUAUGAUAAUGACAUUGUCUGCCUAUGUGUCUUGACCAAAUUACGUGCCAGCAGUCGCGGUAAUACGUAGAAGACUAGUGUUAAUCAUGUUUAAUCGGUUUAAAGGGUACCUAGACGGCAAAUCAAGCUUUCGAUAAAAUAGAACUAAAGGACUAAUUUGCUAGAGUUACUUAUGAGGGGGUUUUAAAGUACUUUUGGUGUAGAGAUGAAAUUCUGUUAUACCUUUCUUCUAAGGGAGAGUGAUGGCACAGGUAUAGGCGAAGGCAUCCCCUUAUGUGAUAACUGACGUUGAGGGACGAAGGCUUUACAUAAUGAACAGGAUUAGUUACCCCAGUAGUCGAAGCAGAAAAUGAUGAAUGUCAUAGAUUAGAUAUAAGUUUAUUCUAUAAAUGAAAGUGUAAGCAUUCCACCUCAAGAGUAAUUUGGCAACAUUGGAACUGAAAUCAUUAGACCGUUUCUGAAACCAG